UAGAAAUUAACCGUUCUCCUUAUCAAACCAACAAUGGUCAUUGUCCUUAUUAUUUGUUAUGUUCAAGUUUCAUAACCGAAAAUAUUUGAACCUUCGAAAGCUUGUGUUGCCUCAUUAGCUUCAAGAUUUUUUUUUUUUUUUUUAUGAAUCACAGCAUGCUAUGACUAUAUGGUAUCUUAGUUUAUAAACUACGAAGUGUUAGGUUAAUAUUAUCCCCAAGGCUUUUUGUUAUUUUCACAUAAAAAAAAAAUAUAUAUAUAUAUAUAUAUAAAACACUCAGAAUUAGCGUAUAAUUAAUAAAUAUUAAGUUUUUCGCUAGAUAUCAAAAUUAUAUUUACUGGAAAAGAAACUGUUACUUUUAAGCUUGUCCCGGAUAUUUUGCUCUAUCCUGUUAGGAAAUAGUCAUCAUCAAACCUAAUAAGAAAAGUGAGAUCGAACUUCUUAUGUACAAAGACAACAAGAUAUCAUCACGACAGGGUCUAAACAUGCGUAGUCCAUAUUCGACAACCAAAGUGUUCUUUCUCUUUCUCUUUCUUGGUGGUGGCUUCAUCAUGGGGUCUAUCGUUGGAGAAAGAAUAUCCUUCUUUAAAUGUCACUUAUCUUAAGAUAUUUAUGUUGAAAGAACGUUAUUAUGCGGUGACUAGAUUAAGGCACGGCUCGAUGAGGGAUCCCAAAUUUCGAGUCAAAUCGAAUAAACUCGCUCCUAGAGGUAAAGUUAAAUUGCUAUUCUUAAACUAUAUAGCUGAAUGAAUCUUUCAUAUGAUAAUACGUAGUGAAGCAAUUACAAUACAGUAUAAUGAUUUGUUUUUGGUGUCUCUCACAACGGGGUUAAGACGCGAAUGUGGAUAUAAGGUGGGAUAUGACGAACGAAAGUGAUGGUAAUUACUCGGCUAAUGUCACAAUCUCCAGCUACGUGGUGGAUCACGAAAUUGAACAGCCAUGGAACUUAGCGUGGAUAUGGGUAAAAAAGGAAACACUAUUUGGAACUUUGGGUUCUGAAGGCACACAACACGGCUUUGUUUCUUUCAGUGAGGACGCUGAUAUCGGCACGUACACGUACUGCUUGAACAACGUGACGUUGGACUUACCGCGACAAACUGAUCUUAACUGCAUAUGAAAUUGCGAAAGGCUCAACUUCAUUUCAGAUUUCUGUUAGCCAUUAUAAUAGAGGAUAUCGUGCACAGCCCCCUUAUGAUGUAACUUUGAGCACACGAGGAUUUGAAUACGAACUCGAAUAUGAUUCAAUGGAGCAAGUAAUUGAUACUCAUCUGAAUACCUGGAGUACGACGUGCAUUCUCUCCAAGACCAAAAAGUUCCACGAGAUUCAUAAUAACAAUGAUGAACUGUGAAGUUGUGGGUGUUUUUCUUAUUUGCCGUUUCUGUUGGUGAUUUCAUCUAUCUUUUAGAUCAGAAAUAAUGUGUUUUUUUUUCAUGUGUGGAGUUUUUCACCUCAUCAUGCAAAAUGAAACUCAAGUUAUGUUGUUUUAAUAGAAUAUAUUUUUGUUUCGAAAAAAUUUAAACAAUUUCUCAAAACUACAGAUAAUCUAAAGUAACUCUUUGACAAAUAAUUUAUCCUAUCAAAUGUUUUGAAAUCUAAUUUAUAUACCUUAAAAUAUCAGUUUCAUUUAACUUCUCAAUAAUUUAAUAUCUAGUUUUUUUUCCUUUUACGUAAUUCAUUGUUUCUAAAAAAAUUACUUUACCGUAAAGUUUAUGUAGCAAUUUAUACAUGCAAGACAAAGUGUCCACACAAUGAAAGAAACAGAUAAUUUCUGUUUGUAUUUCACUCGAGGAACGAUUACAAUAAGAUGAUACUAAGAAGAAGAAAAGCAUAAGAAAUUAGCUUUUGUAGAAAUAAGAACAUCAAAUUUAUGAAAAUGUCUUCCUUUUUCCAUUUCAUUGAAGUUCCCUAUGCAAAUAGAAAACAUUUCCCCAAAAUGGUGAAUUAUGGACAUCUCACCGAAGAACCUUUCCGAUAUAAAGUAGAGCUCGGUGAUGGAGCUGUAUAUGAGGGUACAAUAGGAAGAGAGACAUUAACGUAUAGGACAGGCUAGGGGCUUUAGCACCAUAGAUGACGUUUAUUUUGACGUUUACUUGAACCCCUUCUUAGUUUCGUCCCCAACCCCAGAAUAAACGUCAUCUAUGGUGCUAAAGCCCCUAUAGCCUGUCCUAUACGUUAACGUUUCCCUUCCUAUUGUACCCUCAUAUAUAGCUCCGUCACCGAGCUCUACUUUAUAUCGGCAUGGGCUAUUUCUUGAGCCCGUCCGGACCAAAAACUCGGGGCUCAGUCCCUCAGCUCUCAGUCCCUCACAGCUUAUGGGAGAAAAGGAGGAUGACUUUGACAGACUGUAGAGGGUGUUGGGCUUGGGGAGAACCCAGGUCAACUCUACGCCCGUAUUAGGUGCAAUCGUACUUCCUCCGGUGGGUCCCCGACUGAGAUGCCCGCCAGAGCUGCGGUUGGAAUGACUUGGAGUUCAUCUUGAUGAUCUUUCUUCCGCUUGUUCCUAUACUUAAGUCCUGUCUCGGCUUUGGACGAGACGUACUCCCAGGUGGUGGGAGUGACGAAGGUGGCACAAACGACUUGAAGGAGUAUGAUGAAGAGCAUUUUGAUUUUACUUUGCAAGAUGUAGAAUUGUAUAUGAAGGGAUAUGCAAGAUGUAAAUAAUAUUAUGAUCUAUAUAUAAGUUAAUUAAGUGAGAUAUGGUAAGUAAGAGCAUGAUUAUCCCUAGAAACUCAUAAGGUUUCUUAACUACACUUUAAUGACUAUUUAACUAUUAAAUUUUAGUUAAGGACCUUAGUUAAGAAUCACCUAAUUUUCUUGCUCCAAUGGGAGUUUCUUAAUUUAUGUUUUAAAAAAAAAGUUGGUAUAUACAAAAACAUUGGCACAUACAACUGAUAAAUGAGUACUGUCAAUUCCAAAAGCAUAGAAACAAAUGAUACAAUUGACAAUGAACUUUGAAAGAAAGCUAUGUCAAAUGCCUGCAAUACACGGAUAAAAACUUACUUAAGCUGAGAGUACAAAUAGAAAAUAA